AGAUAAUUUCGUUGUGGCGCUGGCAUUUCAGUUCUUAUUUGAAGAUCUACUGUAUCAUUACAAAGUUGACCUAGCUUUGUGGGCACAUUACCACAGUUACGAACGAACAUGCGCAGUCUAUAAAAAUGCUUGUACUGAUGAUGGAAUUGUACAUAUCGUCAUUGGUACGGCGGGAAAGAAAGCUGAUUGGCCACCUUUUCUACCUCCUGGUUGGUCCAAAUUUCAACGCCAUAUUGACCCGUACGGAUACGGUCGUGUAACGCUCGCCAAUCGCUCGGCUUUGCAUUUUGAAUACUUCGUGAAUAGUGAGGAAAAAGUCGUUGAUGAGGUUUGGUUGUAUAAGGAUGAUUAGUUCGAAAAUCCAUGUUUAAAUAAUAAAUUGUUAAAUUGAUAAGCACUUACAAGUAUAUUCAUAUUUGUAAGUACUUAUCAAUUAUACUAUAGUCAAAGCACAUAUGAAAAGUACGAAACAUAAAAUCAUUUGGUUCGAUAUCAGUUUUUCUUCGUUUGCUUUAUUGCACUCAUUUACUGCAUUCGGCGACUUUAAUUACUGCAUUCAUACGCAUUUAGUUCUAACUGUACUCAGUUAUAGAAUAGUCAUAUUUACCUAUAAUAUACUAAUAUAUAUAUGUAAUCCAUGCGGAU